AUCUUGCUGAUUGUAGCUCAUUGCCUUUUUCGCAGCUGGCGGUGUUUUCUGUUCUUAGCAUUAGCAUUAGGUCUCAAGGGUCAAGUUUCUUCUCUUCUACUUUUGAGUUUUAACCAGGGCCAACAGAAAUGGAUCACAGUAAUAUUGCAGAAGAGAAUAAUAUGAUGGAAAUAGCUGGCGUUGUUAUGUACCCAGAUAUGUCAUUUAUGUACCCAGAUAUGUCAUGGUUUUGAACAAUUGCAAUGCUUAAUCUAAUUGUUUGAUUCUUCAGAUAACUAUGGUUUUACUGAUCAAGCCAACACGCCUGAAAUCAACAGGCUUUUGCAUAGACCUAACAUGUUUCAGACGUUUAGUUAAUAGGGCAUGGUAUUAGCUAGCUGUGCAUGAAAUGGAGCGAAUAAAACUGAAAGAAUGAAUAGGGUGAGUAUUAGGUUGACCUAUUCACAUAAGAAUCAGGACACCUUUAUCAGUGAAAGUAUUAUGCAUAAAAUUUGUCUUUUUGAAGGUAAAUAUAUUCACUUAUCCAACGGUGUCACAUUACAUGUGUUUCUAAUGGUUGUCUUUUUGAAGGUUUUUCUUCCUUAUGCAUCCGCGGGUCACUUUAACUUGUUCUCCAUCGAUAAGCAUACAUGUACUGUGUCUGUUAUUGAUCCUUGGUCCAUGCCGCCAUCGUCGGAGGGUAAAAUUGUUCGGUCGCAUAAGAUGAAAUUGAUCUUACAAAGAAUUGCAAUCUACCUAACCGACGCACUUCCAUUAGCACAGCCUGGUUGGGAUGCCGAUAUAUUUUUCUGGCCACGCACGUCGCCAACUGAUAUUCCGCAAAGUUCAAGCAUGUGAGUAUCUCUAGAAUAAAACACAUAUGUUUUAAUUUCUUCGGUAAUUAAGAUAAUAACGAGUCAUUUAUCUACAGAAAGCGUCUGGUUAUUUCAUUUUUUAUAUUAUGUUCUCAUGGAAUGGUAAAAAGUUGGUUCAUCCAAUAUGCACGAAUGUUAUCGACCCGAGGAAGAAUUUUUUGGUACGCUUGCUCAAGUACCAUCAAAAUGAAGCACUCGAAAAUAUUCCAUACAUUGUACGACAUACUCUAAGGAGUAUCGAGGAGGACAUUUAUUAAAUAUAAAAUAGUUAAUUAGUGGAGUACUUAUUGCAUAUUCAAACGAUGUCAAUUAUAUGGUUGUUAAAUAUAUUUCAGACUGGUUAGAAUCUUAUAAGUUUUUCUAAAUA